GGGGCUGUAGUAUAGCUUGGCUCAGUAUCCCAGCUCGGGGAGCUGGUGACCCGGAUUCAAAUUCCGGCAGCCUCA
rnacentral:tRNA from 1 species